GAUGAACGCUGGCGGCGUGCUUAACACAUGCAAGUCGAACGAAGCACUUAAUGAGAUUUCUUCGGAUUGAUUAUUUUGUGACUGAGUGGCGGACGGGUGAGUAACGCGUGGGUAACCUGCCCCAGACCGGGGGAUAACAGUCGGAAACGACUGCUAAUACCGCAUAAGCGCACAGUGCCGCAUGGCACGGUGUGAAAAACUCCGGUGGUCUGGGAUGGACCCGCGUCCGAUUAGUUAGUUGGCGGGGUAACGGCCCACCAAGACCGCGAUCGGUAGCCGACCUGAGAGGGUGACCGGCCACAUUGGGACUGAGACACGGCCCAGACUCCUACGGGAGGCAGCAGUGGGGAAUAUUGCACAAUGGAGGAAACUCUGAUGCAGCGACGCCGCGUGAGCGAAGAAGUAUUUCGGUAUGUAAAGCUCUGUCAGCAGGGAAGAUAAUGACGGUACCUGACCAAGAAGCCCCGGCUAACUACGUGCCAGCAGCCGCGGU
rnacentral:rRNA from 1 species